rnacentral:rRNA from 1 species
UAAUCACUCGUCUCUUAAAUGGAGACCUGUAUGAAUGGCUUAACGAGGGCUUAACUGUCUCCUCUUUCAAAUCAAUGAAAUUGAUCUCCCCGUGCAGAAGCGGGGAUAGACCCAUAAGACGAGAAGACCCUGUGGAGCUUCAGACACAAAGCAAAAUCACGUUAAGAACUUCAAUAUAAAGAAUAAAACUUUGUGAACGCACUUGCCCGAAUGUCUUUGGUUGGGGCGACCGCGGGGUAAAAAACAACCCCCAAGAGGACAGGGAACAAAACUCCUACAAGCUAGAGCCGCAGCUCUAAUUAACAGAACUUCUGACCACACGAUCCGGCAAUGCCGAUCAACGGACCGAGUUACCCCAGGGAUAACAGCGCAAUCCCCUUUUAGAGACCC